CAUCACCACCUACCAACCAAAACUCUUCCCUCUUGGCCAAACCUCCCUUGGUCAUUUCUUCUUCAUCCUUGCUCCCCAAGUUCUUCUUAUUUUUCCAUCCAAAAUCACCAAGAGAACUUGCAACUCCUUACUAGCUUAACUUGGAACUUGAGGACAUCUUGAAGAGAAGAGAGGGCCGGCUAUUUGGGGCUGUUUUGGGGAGUUUCUCACACCAAAAAUCUAGGGUUUCCUCUUGUGUUUGGAAGGUAUAAACAUCUCCCACCAAAACUCUUGCUUUCUUGUUUCAUUUCUUGGCUUUGAAGCUUGUAGCUCCUUUCUUGUUGUUGUUGGUUGGAUUUGGUUGGUUGAAGUGGGCUCUAUAAACUCCUAUCUUGGUUAAAUGAGGGCUGCUAUGAUGUUUGUGUGCGUGUUAGUGUAUUUGUGAUGAGUUUUAAUGGUAGGAACUAGAAGAGGAAAAUGAAAGAGAGAAACUGAGAAGAGAGGGAGAAGUGCUGGCCGAAAUUUUUAGUUUUUGUUACUCUGUUUUGAUGCCAUAUUUUCGUGACUUUCUUGGCCCAUUUGAGAGCUGAUAUGUUGAGCUUUAAGUGGGCAAAUUUCUAGCCAAAAACUCUUUCAUUUGGUGCUUCAAAAAUGCAUGAAAAAAUUGGCCAAAAAUCUGGAAAUUUUCCUUUCCCUGCUAACCCAAUGGUCAAAUCUGUUUUGGGGUGUUUUGUUCCAAAUAUUUUGGUGCUAUUAAACCAUCAAUUACUCAAUAAAUGUUUCUGGAAUCUUGGUUUCAAAAAUGGAGCAAAUUGGGGCUGAUUUCGUUGGACAAAACUUUUGGAAAAGAAAGAAUGAUAGGGUUGGCAGAUUGACUUCGAAGAAUUUCACAAACUUUGGUCAUUUUGUUAACUGCCUUCCCAUGCGAGUUUUUGCCUAAAGUUUGGUAGGGAGGUAGUCCAUAUAUGAAUGUUUAAGUGUACCAAAUUUGGCGUAAUUUUAAUACCAUUUCGAUGCCCCAAAGAUUGCUCUUCAAAACUGGAAAAUUGUAUCUUGUGGCUCAAUUUCGUUUCACUUGUGAAAAGAGUUUGAAAACGAUGUCUUCUGAUGAAUUAUAGAAUUUUGAAUCUAGUUUCUAACACCAUAAGCCAUUCUCAAUUUGGACUUGUGUGGAGUUAGAUAUGGUCUGAUUUCAAAACUGUGUCAAAGCUGGAAACUGGAAAAUUGUUGAACAGGUUGAGAAAUCCAGCUAACUUCAAACUGUUGUAUCUUGCUGGUCAAAAAUCAAAAUUUAGUUCCGCUUAUUGUGUUUGAAACUUAACUUGAAACUCUUGCUGUGUUAUAAAUUUUAGAGGCUAAUUCAAUACCUGUAAAUUUUUCCAAAUUUUCAAACUUUGCUGAAAAACAAGAACUGGUUCUGCUCUGUCUUCAUGAAAUAGCAACUUUAGGCUGGAAUUUGAAUGAUUUCUGGUCAGAAUAUGGGAAAAGUGUCUUCUGAAAAGUUUUAUUACUUUGAAUCUAGUUUCCAACGGUAUAAAUUUUUCUAUUUUUGGACUUACCAAACUCAAGAUAUGAUUUUCCAAGUGUGUCGCAUAAAGCUGAAAAUUUCUGAUUUCUUAAGAAAUGAACUUUUAAGAACUCCCAACUUCCUUUUGAGAUUGAUAGUCCGUUUUAAACUUGAUUUCGUGGAUGAUACAAGUUUCCCUUGUGACUUUAAAUCCUCAUUUUUGAAUCUCGAUUUUCGAUGAAUUAAAACACUAUUAAGGCGUUGUCUUAAAUUUUAAGCAAGUGUAUUUCCUUCCUUGAAUGUUAAGUGGUCUAGAGUAUAUGUGAGUGAUAGUUGGUCACUAUUUCUUUAGGUGCUCAAGGGGGUUUCGAAGGGGAUCCCGGUACGGACCAUUGAAGGACUUUAUUUGCUCACUUACUUUUGAAUUGGUGAGUGUCAAGUGCAUGAUUUGUUGCUAAACAUUUGAAUUGUUUCUUGUUAAUUAAGUGAUUUGGACUUGUCGAGACGAGUGUAUACUUUAUCGCACUUAUUCUCUUCUACCUGACUAGAUAAUUGAAUUGCGUGAACUUGGCAAAUCGUACUUGUACAUGUGGGGACGCCCAAAUUCCAUUGGUUAACUUUGUAACUCGAGUCGGCAUGGGCUUGGUCGAGGAGCUUGGGGAACCAUGGAAAAUUAUAAAACUUGAUCUUUUGAGAUCUUAGUUGGCAUACUUGAGUAGUAUUGCCCUUUCGUGCGUGUUUGGUUCCGGAUCUGAGAGGGUGAAAUGGUGGAUGGGGGAAGUAAUUUGGGUUUCUAUGGACUUGCUACCUACCCGGUUGACGGAGUGUCACCACGUGGAGGUAUUAGCUCAAGCCUUGGCAAAGCAAUGAGAAUUUAGCUCUUGAGAGCUCCCGUAUCCUUAUUGAUUGUGCUUUACUGUUAUUUGUGAAUCACAUGAACUUUCUAGUUAUACUCCUCAUAUAAGUGUUAUUGUUACUUGAAUUUAUUUGUUUGCAUGCUUUUCUUGGCCUCACUGAGCGUUAGCUCACCUCCGUAGUUUGUUUUCCUUAACAGGGACUUGAAGUGGAAAGAUUUUGGAGAAGCUGACUUGAUUACCCUUUGAUUAGAAAUUGGAUGUAAAUGACUUUAUUUUGGUACAAUUAUGGAUGUAAUUGAUUAGUCGGCUUAUGGUGGUUGUAUUUUGGGAAAUUUGAUGUACCUUUUGAAAACUUUGUGAAGUAAAACUUGAAUGACUAUAUAAGGAAGCGACUUUCCUGUAUAUUGACUUUUAUUAAUGGUUGAUUACCUUUAAGUUUAAAUUUG
rnacentral:lncRNA from 1 species